rnacentral:rRNA from 1 species
AUGGCGACCGACAGGAGGAUCCAGCCGGCCGGCAGCGGCGGGGGUGGCGGGUCGUCGCCCGGAGGGGGAGGCGUGGAGCCCGGGCUCGGGAGGCGCCUGCUCCACGUGCUGCGCGCCGUCUACCACAUGCUGCGCCGUGGCCUCUGCCGCAAGCGCCUCAUGAUGGACCUCCACCUGCUGCUCGGCCGCGGCAAGCUCGCCGGCAGGCACUUCCGGGACCUCCUCGCGCACCAGCCGCUCGCCGGGGGCCACCGCUUCGGCGCCGCGGCCGCGGCCGGCGCCUCCCCGUCCGCGCUCUCCAUGUACCAGCACGACCCCAGGGACGUCGAGUUCAGCUGUGAGACCACGCCGGUGUACGAGCAGGCAGUCUUCCCCUUCAAGAUCGGCCGCGGCCGCGGCCGGGGCAGAAACUACGGCGGGCUGGACGCUGCCACCGUGGCGGCCGCCUUCGAGAUGAUGAACGCGCACGCUGCCGGGGACACGCCGGGGGUGUCCCGGGCCACGCCGUCGCCCAUGCUGGCGCUCAGCCUGGGGCGCUGCCCGGCCGGGGCGCGCCAGCUGCGCGUCACCGACUCGCCGUUCCCCGUCGAGCCGGAGGGCGUCGACGAGCGCGUGGACGCCGAGGCCGACAGCUUCAUCAAGAGGUUCUACGAGCAGCUCCGGAUGCAGCAGUCGACCACGCCCGACAACUGCACCCGCCGCCGUGGCUAG